rnacentral:misc_RNA from 1 species
GCAAGGGUGGAGAGCUGAACUGCUUCUCAAAUGGUGCUCUCUUUCUAUAUAUCAUUACCAAAUAUUUCAUUCAAAAUUUUUUAAUUUCAUACACUGAUAAGUCUACGUAAACCCAACUGAAAAACUCCUCCAACACUGUCCAGUUUACAUCAAAUGCAACCACCACCGACCAAUCAACCAAUAAAUGAAUUUCUGUACAAAAUUCCUAAAUAUCUAAGUUAAAAGCAGAGACUUAAAGAAAUUAUACAAUCUCUUUCUAAACCUGCUCUCCAAUAUUUCUGCGGAUCUAACCAUAUUCUAAGUGUAUGUCAUCUCAUUUCAACUGUACAGAGCAAGGCAGGCUCCUUCCCAAAAUACCUUCAGCUGUCAAUCUCGUAGAAUCAGAUUACUAUGAGCCUCCAGCAUUUUCAAGCCUAACUUGCUCAUGAGCUUUCAAAACCUCUGAAGUGAAGUUUCCUAAAGCCUCAAAAAUUGGGACCAAACCUGCUUGUAAACUAACUGAAGCUGCAUCAUGAACUAGUUUCUUAGCUUCCUUAUGUCUAAUUCUCUCUUCUUCUAAUUUCUUCCUCAUUGAAUCCAAAUCCACCUUCAGAUCAUCUAGGGGUGAAACUCCACUUUCUGAAGGAACCUUUGACAUAGCUUUAUCUGACAAUGCGUCCUGCUCCUGCAUGAUCCUUCCCCUCUCCAUGCGUAAGGUCUUUAGACGUUUCUCAAAAUCCUUUGUGAGGUACUCUGCUUUGAUCCUCUGACGCUGCUCCUCAUCUUGCCGUUCCCAUAAUUGAUGUAAGCUUGAAGCAAAGUUGAGCAUGGCAUUUUCCACCCCCUUCUCGGAAAUCCUGACCAUUGCUUGAUACCAAUCAUGGCAAACUACAAAAAUAGCUGGGGCACCCAUUCUGCUUGGGGAGAAAGGUGCAAUUCCAUCAGGAGUUUCUUCAGGUUCAAUGAUAAGGCACCUUAAUAGCCACUCGUUUAACGACUCAACAUAAGAUUUUUGGGUGUUAAUCCAAUUAUUAAAGCAGGUGCACCAAUUGAUUAGCUCUGUUUCAAGUUCAAGAGUAGCUCUCAAACCAGAAUCUCUUUGUAAACCAGUAUUUGCCUUGAGAGUGCGAGCUUUGCUCUCCAUGAUAACUUGGAACUGUUUCUGGUGACAUCUGAGCAUAGACUUCCACAUUCUUAUCAAUCUGCAAAUAAAAAGGGUGUUUAUCAUAUCAAAACAAAAGAAUAACAGGCUUUAAAAAAAUUAUUGACAGCAAAAAGUUAGACACUAAAUUCACCAAUUUUUUCAACUAGCUUCUUAUAAUAUAUUUGCCAUCAUGUCAAAUUAAAUAGGAAGCCAAACCCAAGAAGAACUUGAACAAUUCACUGGCCGGCAGUUCAAAGAAAAAAAGUCCUCUUAAAGCGCAACUAAGAACAGUAGAAGUUCCACAAAUAUUCGGGUAAAGAAUUGAUUAUUCUUCAUAAAUCUCUUAAAAUUACUAGAUAGUUGGAGAAUCACUACUGAUAUUAGAAGGCAGAGCCUGCAGCACUAAUAAUAGUGUCACUGUCAUUGUAGACCAAAAAUGAUACAGGAAUUUAAGCAUGUACCACUUUCAUCCAGCAAAAAAAAUUCAAUCACCAGUUUCUGUGCCACCUUUAAAGCUAGGGAAUGAAAGUUAUUUAACCAAAGAAGAUGAGGAAACCAUGGUGCAACAAUGCCAAUGAUACCUGAUAUUGGUGUCUGGAUACCAUGCAGCUCUGAGCUUAAGUUUACAAUAUUAAAGUCCCAUAAAGCACCAAUAUUAAGAAAACGAGUAAGGAGGAUAAAUUGAAUGAGGAAGAAGCCUCCAGCAAGCCCUAAGAAAACCCUAGAUCAAUUUUCUUUUCUACGCAGAAAAAAGGCAGUUAUGGUGUGUGAGUGGGGCAGUUCUCUAUCAAUAUGCAUUGCCUUCUAAGACAGUGGAUAAUAAAUGCAUGAUAUAAGUUGUGAUUAUCAAGUAGACAAACGGCUAAUAGACCAAGGAACAGAGCAGUUGAAUACCCAUGAAUCAAUUCAGUGAUUAAAGGCUGCAAUUCUUCAUCCCUCAACUUGUGUAUCUUGCUAGAUAUGGCAUCAACAGUUCUGAUAGUAACAUUGAUUUUUGUCAGCAACUUCCUUAACGAAGCCUGGGCAGCAUCAAUUUUACUAGACUCAGCUCCAUGUUCAUCUAAACUUUUUAAUCUUUUGUACUGUUUUUCAUAGUGAAUUCGUAGCCUUUCUUCAUCCUUAACUUCCUUGUACAGCUUUUUCUCCCAUGCAUAAAGUUUUUCUAGGGUAGAUGAAAGGUUUCUAGCCUUAAUGUCAAAAUCAUUUCCAGGCUUCCCGGUGUAUGCUUUUGCCAUUUUCAUUGUCCUAGAAGAAAUUUGUACCGAUGGCCUGGUAGGAGAAUGUGAUGAUACCAGAUACAGAAUCCGGGAAAAAAUCACUCUUAGCAAAGUGGUUCUUCGCUGGUAAGGCAACCUGUCAACCUCAAGCAACGAUGCAACCUCCUUCCCAUGACUAGAGGCAGUCUCAAACUCGUCCCUGAUUUCCUUCACCACUUCUUGGAGAUCCCUAGUGCCAUGAACGAACAAUGUAGCUAAGCUACUAGGUUUUGAAGACUCAACAUCCUUUGUAGAUGCCUCCUCAACCUCAAAGCUCACUCCUUUCUUCUUGACAGAAUCCGCAUCAGGACUCUUAGACGAAAUAAUACUGUCAGGACUACGAAAUGUAUCAGGACUAGUACUGCUCUUGAUUUCUUUACCCUUAGCUGAGUCCAUACUCUCACUGCUGCUUUCAACUGGUACUGAUUUAGAGGUACCCUCUCCAUAAUUCUUAUUCACUUCUGCAUUUAAUUUGAAUUUGCCAUUCACAUUCAUUUGCUCUUUCACUUUCUUCUUUUCUUUGUGAACCUCUUUUAUCACUUCUUGCUCUGUUUCUUCUUCCAAAUCUGGUAUACCUUCCUUUUCUCUCACCUCCUUCGAAUCCGGACUACUCGUGGUCGAACCGUAACCGUAUCUUCCCAACGAGUAAUAAGCUGGAAGGCCACCAGCAUCGUUAUCAUACGCGUCGAACACAUUGAGAAAGUCCCAAGUGGACACUGUCGGCGGCGAUGGCGGCGCCGGUGGCGGCCUCUGCGGACUUGGUUCCUUCUGGGGAGAACCCAUCGGGUACCCAAAAUACCCGCCAUUUCCAUAAUAACUCGGAUACCCAUUUACCGAUGGAUCCUCAUACACCACUUUCUUUGCCGGAGUGGCAGACCUCUUCAUGUAAUACAUGUUAGGAUAAGGAUUGGACGAAGGAUACGGGUAUGGAUAUGUAUAUGGAUUUUCUUCCGGAUAAUUGUAGCCCCAAUUUCCUUGAGGAGGAUAAUCGCUAAAAUUGUAAGAAGUUGAAGGCACUUCUCGUUGCUGCACUACUUCUUCUUCCUCUUCAGAGGUAUCGUGGAUGUGGAUGUGACCCGAAUCAGAGUUCAAUUCCGACCCAGAUGACAAAUGCAAAUGCGAAUCUUCAAUAUCUUCCUCCUCCUUGUUUUUUCUCUUAUUAUGACUGCUGUCGUCCACAGAAUGCGAAAUUGAUGUCGAUGAGGACGAGUUCUUGGAUUUUGGCCUCGAUUUUCCUUCCCGGGACGGUAAUGUCAGAACAGGGGAUCCAGGAGACGAAGAAGAAGCAAUCACCAGCUCCUCAUCAACAAAUCUCCUAAUUGCCUCGCCAACAUCCCUUAGCGAGUGAAAAUACAAGACGUGAGCAGCGGCAAGAGCGUAGCGGUGGUCAGAUGCGGCCUUGAUAAGUUCUUUUCUAUCUCUGCAACGAGUUACCAGCGGCAAAUCAUCAACCUUGGAUCCUCCACAGCCCAUAUCAGAACCCUAAAGGAAACAAACAAGAAGAAGCCCAAAAGAGUCAACUGAGAGAGAAAUGGCGUAGGUUUCAUUGCGAUGAUGUUGUUGCGAACGCCUGAGAAUACAAAUUGAGAGGAAGAGCAUCGUGAGUAACGACAGAUCCAAAGGGAUAUUAUCUGGGGAUAAACAGAACAACGUGAUGGGUAUAGAAAGAAAGAAAUGGAAAGCAGAAAUUUCAAUUUAAAUUAAACAGAAAAGAACCAUGGCAGAACUAGAACAGAGCUAUCAUCAUGCAUGUAGUACAGAGCACGGACAGGUAAAAAAUUGAAGACAUAGAGUAAUAAAACAGUGAGAAGACAGAGAAUUGGUGCAUGUAAGAGAGAGAAGGAGAGAAAUCUGACCGUUGAGAUUGGUGAGAUUGCGAGGGAACCGUCCAUGCAAGGAGAGACUGAAAAAAUUGAUGAAACUAAGACUGAGAUAUGAAAAUUUUUUGUUUUUUAGCAGUAUAAUAACUAAGGGUGCAUAGAGAUGCGUGAAGACGUCUAAGAUCUGUGAACAAAGCAGAGAGAAGGAGGGAGGCGUUGGGGUUCCUGAGACCUGACCUCUUCUUCUGGGCAGAGAAUUCAGAGUAUACAGAGACAGAAGAAAGC